rnacentral:rRNA from 1 species
CAACGAAUCUUCCCCAAUGCCGGAAACGGUGAGGGAGCGACGCCGCGUGAAGGACGAAGUUCUUCGGAAUGUAAACUUCUGUAAGGGUCAUGAAAGCCUUAGGGCUAAUACCCCAAAAGGUUGAUCUGACCCCUAAAAGGGGCGGCUAACUCUGUGCCAGCAGCCGCGGUAAUACAGAGGCCCCAAGCGUUACUGAGAAUCACUGGGUUUAAAGGGUGCGUAGGUGGCGCGUUAAGUCCGUUGUGAAAUCCCUGGGCUCAACCCAGGAAUUGCUUCGGAUACUGGCGUGCUUGAGGCUAGUAGAGGUCACUGGAACUGACGGUGGAGCGGUGAAAUGCGUAGAUAUCGUCAGGAACGCCGGUGGUGAAGACGGGUGACUGGGCUAGUUCUGACACUGAGGCACGAAAGCGUGGGGAGCGAACGGGAUUAGAUACCCCCGUAGUCC